rnacentral:rRNA from 1 species
AUGACUAGUCUCAGCAUUCUUUCAAUCGGUAGAAACAUGAUAACUGGUACUGUACCACUGGGAGUUGGAGAACUUGGUAACUUGACAGUGUUGGAUCUCAGCUACAAUAAACUGGAUGUUGUGCUCACGAAGGAUCAUUUUUCAGGCUUAUUGAAAUUGGGGAACCUGGACUUAUCGGACAACUCCUUGAAAAUGGAUACUGAACCAAAUUGGGUUCCUCCGUUUAAACUGAAGUACUUGGACUUGCAGUCAUGCUCAGUGGGCCACCGUUUUCCGCAGUGGCUUAGAUCGCAGACCGACAUUGAUUAUCUUGUUCUCGGAAAUACAAGUUUGGAUGAUGUUAUUCCUGAUUGGUUCUGGGUGACAUUUUCCCGAGAUUUAGUCUUGGAUGCAUCAAGAAACAUGUUACAUGGUUCAUUACCGACAAAUCUACAACACAUGUCAGCUAGUAUUAUAUAUCUCGGGUCCAAUAAGCUUACUGGUCAAGUUCCAAGGCUCUCCCCUAUAAAUAUAUCACACAUGGAUAUGUCUUCAAACUCAUUAGGGUCAUUGCCAGCAGAGCUAAAAGCUCCACAACUUGCGGUAUUGUUACUGGAAAAUAAUCAAAUUAUAGGUACCAUUUCAUCAUCUUUGUGCCAAUUGACUAGUCUAGGACGAUUGGACCUAUCCGGAAACAAUUUAACAGGAGAUGUUAUUCAGUGCUCGGUGCAAGCUCUAUAA